GCUGGGCAUGAUGGCGCAUGCCUGUAGUCCCAGCUACUUGGGAGGCUGAGGCAGGAGAAUCACUUGAACCCAGGAGGCAGAGGUUGCAGUGAGCCGAGAUGGCGCCACUGCACUCCAGCCUGGGCAACACAGCGAGACUCUGUCUCAU
rnacentral:SRP_RNA from 1 species